ensembl:lncRNA
GUCCCAUGUGAGCCACACAUUUGUGUUCCCUUGUUUUUUGUUACUUUAUUAGAACAUAGUGUGUGUGUACUCUACGUCGUAUUUCAUUGGUAGCAAACAGAAACAUUUGCUGUUGCACUGAAAAGCCUUGAAUAAUGCUGGAUGGAGUUUGGAUUCAUUGCGUUUAUCAUGCAGUUUGUCAGACGGUCCGAGCCAGGGAAUUCGAAUUUCCGCUUUCCGCUGCCCACGUUGUAAUUCCUGAUUGGGGAUGUCUGAGUGUGUGGUAAACACGUGCAGAAGGUGUGGGCUGUGAAUGUCCCAAUGACAGUGCUGGAGGAGUCACUGAGAAACACUCGCCAUGAUCUUGGCACAGAGAGCGUUGGGCCUGUGCAAAACACAUCCAGGAGAUCACCUUAAAAGGAGGGGGACUCUUCACUGUUAUCAGAAGCCAGAGGAGCUGCUUCUAUCCCAGCUGGUUCCGCCUCAUCCUACAGCCUUCCUCUGUUUUCUUUGACUAGUCACCUACUUGUAUGUGAUUUCAUUGUCUACAAUGGGUGUGCGGGUAUGUUCCUGUAGUGCCUUACUAGUGAGGACUAUUAUUCCUCCUCAAAAAGUCCUCCACAGAAGCAUAUUUAACUAUGGAAAAUACUGACAAGUGAGGACCUUUUGUACAAUUGUCACUUAUAGAAAGACUAUUUUUGGCUUAGGG